GACGAACCAUGCAAACGUUAUUCGGAUUCACUGGGCUUAAAGCUUGCGUAGGCGGUCUUGUUAGUCAGGUGUGAAAGCCCUCAGCCUAACUGAGGAAUUGCGCUUGAUACUGCAUGACUAGAGAAUGAUAGAGGUGGGUGGAACUGAUGGUGGAGCGGUGAAAUGCGUUGAUAUCAUCAGGAACACCAGUGGCGAAGGCGACCCACUGGGUCAUUUCUGACGCUGAGGUACGAAAGCUAGGGUAGCGAACGGG
rnacentral:rRNA from 1 species